rnacentral:rRNA from 1 species
UACGUAGGGUGCGAGCGUUGUCCGGAUUUAUUGGGCGUAAAGAGCUCGUAGGCGGUUUGUCGCGUCGGCCGUGAAAUCUCCACGCUUAACGUGGAGCGUGCGGUCGAUACGGGCAGACUUGAGUUCGGUAGGGGAGACUGGAAGUUCCUGGAUGUAGCGGUGAAAUGCGCAGAUAGUCAGGAGGAACACCGGUGGCGAAGGCGGGUCUCUGGGCCGACACUGACGCUGAGGAGCGAAAGCGUGGGGAGCGAACAGG